rnacentral:rRNA from 1 species
GACGAACGCUGGCGGCGUGCUUAACACAUGCAAGUCGAACGGAAAGGCCCUGCUUUUGUGGGGCGCUCGAGUGGCGAACGGGUGAGUAACACGUGAGUAACCUGCCCUUGACUUUGGGAUAACUUCAGGAAACUGGGGCUAAUACCGGAUAGGAGCUCCUGCUGCAUGGUGGGGGUUGGAAAGUUUCGGCGGUUGGGGAUGGACUCGCGGCUUAUCAGCUUGUUGGUGGGGUAGUGGCUUACCAAGGCUUUGACGGGUAGCCGGCCUGAGAGGGUGACCGGCCACAUUGGGACUGAGAUACGGCCCAGACUCCUACGGGAGGCAGCAGUGGGGAAUAUUGCACAAUGGGCGGAAGCCUGAUGCAGCAACGCCGCGUGUGGGAUGACGGCCUUCGGGUUGUAAACCGCUUUCGCCUGUGACGAAGCGUGAGUGACGGUAAUGGGUAAAGAAGCACCGGCUAACUACGUG